rnacentral:rRNA from 1 species
GUCAGCUCGUGUCGUGAGAUGUUGGUUAAGUCCGCAACGAGCGCAACCCUUGUCUUUAAUUGCCAGCAUUCAGUUGGGCACUUUAAAGAGACUGCCGGUGUUAAGCCGGAGGAAGGUGGGGAUGACGUCAAGUCCUCAUGGCCUUUAUGCCCAGGGCUACACACGUGCUACAAUGGGUGGUACAAAGAGAUGCCAACUCGCGAGAGCGCGCCAAUCUCAGAAAGCCAUCCUCAGUUCGGAUUGGAGUCUGCAACUCGACUCCAUGAAGUUGGAAUCGCUAGUAAUCGCGGAUCAGCACGCCGCGGUGAAUACGUUCCCGGGCCUU